rnacentral:lncRNA from 1 species
GUUAACACAGAAAUCAGCCUCCCAGGCCAUGUUGGAUUUAAGGUCUGCUUCUUCUGUUUUGCCCCAGAAGAAGAUAAAUGGACCAGUCCUCAUAGUGAAUGACCUCCCCUUCCUGACCAACAGAUGGGAGAGUAACUGGGAUCUGUCCAACACUGGCCUCUGAGCUUAAUAAACCAGCUGAAUGAAGCAAGGUAACAGCCUCCUGGGAAGGACUUUGAAGUCUGCAGUGUGGGGGGGGGCUUGGACACACCCCUUCCCCCAGACUCCUCCCCCUCAAGGUCCACUCAGCCAUGGACUUUGGACCUGGAUAAGAAAAGCUGCACAUUUUUUGGUGGAUCUGACUUGGAUUCUCAGUUUUGGAAAUGUAAUACUGGAGGAUGGGGGUUUGAUGGUCUCCAAGGGAGCGACUGAGAGGAGAAAGUAUAUGGAAAGUGGUUUUAUUAUAGAGAUGGCAGUGUUGGUUCAGCAUUGGAAGAUCCACCCCCAAAAGUCAUCAUUUUAACAGAGGAAAGGAAAAAGCCAUAUGAUCCUGUCACUAGUUGGAGAAAAAGUAUUGGACUAAAUUCUAAGGCUGUUCAUGGUAAAAGCUAUCAGGAGACUAGAAGUAGAACAGAACCUUCUCAACAGAUUAAAGACAUGUACUCCAUACUUCCAGCAAAAACACCUU